GUUCUGUAAGCUAUCAGAGACAUAGCUGCAUUACUGAAAGAAAGUACAUCUAAUGUGGUCCCAUCAUCAUUGGAACAUAUGACCCAGACCUGUAACUCCUGGAAGGCUCCCUUGAGAUGCAUCUCAGAAAUGUUUUGGACAAACAUAGUUUUAGAUGUCAGGAAAGGUCAGGCCUAAUCAGUACUUGGAUGCACAAACUCCCAAGAAACCUAACACAGAGCAGGUUGUGGUGAUCCAGCAUACGG